AGCAGCCGCGGUAAUUCCAGCUCCAAUAGCGUAUAUUAAAGUUGUUGCAGUUAAAAAGCUCGUAGUUGAACCUUAGGCCCGUGCGGGUGGUCCGUCCUCAGGGCGAGCACUGCCUCGUUGCGGGUCUCACCUUCUGGCGAGCGUAGAUGCCAUUUAUUUGGUGUCUGCGGGAACCAGGACCUUUACCUUGAAAAAUUAGAGUGCUCAAAGCGGGCUCCGACGCUUGAAUACAUUAGCAUGGAAUAAUGAAAUAGGACGAUGGUUCUAUUUUGUUGGUUUCUGGGACCGUCGUAAUGAUUAAUAGGGAUAGUUGGGGGCAUUCGUAUUCAAUUGUCAGAGGUGAAAUUCUUGGAUUUAUUGAAGACGAACUACUGCGAAAGCAUUUGCCAAGGAUGUUUUCAUUAAUCAAGAACGAAAGUUGGGGGAUCGAAGACGAUCAGAUACCGUCGU
rnacentral:rRNA from 1 species